rnacentral:lncRNA from 1 species
UAAAAGUGUGAUCAUGAAUAAUGUAUAUCUCUAUACCCAAAACCACAUAAAGCAAUAGCAGGUACUACCCAAAAAUUCAGUGGUAAACAAGGUAUAAAGAUAGCCAAACUAGAGUAACCUAUUGGGUCCCAUCAAAAUUAACCUAUGCAAAUCAUUAUGAUUAAUAAGAACAUGAUUGGGUAAAAAUAAGUAAUCAAGGAAACAACUUGCCUGGGACUUGAGAUUCCAGGUACCAACUUGCUCUUCAGGUGACUCGUAACCUCGCUGCUAGUCGUAGCAAUACAGACAAACAUGGUAUAGGCAAAAUUAACAUUACACCAAACAUAAGAACAAAUUGCAUAAUAAUAAUCUACGCGUCGCUACGAGAUAGUGAGUUCGAGAACUACUAAAAUCAGAGUUAUGGUUAUAGAGUUAUGAUUUUCUAAAAAUUUGGGUGAUCUAAAUAAUAAAUUAUGUUCUAUAUUUCAUGUGAUAGAGGCAUUACAAAUACAUAACUCAAGUGGAUCUCGUUCUAAGUUAUAAAUUAGUUAGACAUCAUGUCUUAGUUAAAUUAUAGCCAUAAAAUCAGAAUACUAUAUUAAUAUUAGAAAAGCUAAUCCGAUAAACAUAGAUUGAUCCAGUUAACAUAGGGUAACCAAGUUAAUUAUUUACAAUAUGUCUCAUGAUAAAAUAAGGUUACCAAAGUGCAUAUAAUUUUAUUAUGAAGCUAACGCAACUGGAAUGAGUUAGAUCAGAGCUAAAGUGUGGUAGUUAUGAUUUUCUGAAUAAUUAAGUGCUUGGUAUAGAAUAAGUUAAGUAGACAAUUUUAAUAUAUGUUUCAUGUCUAAAUAGAGUUACUAGGUGAUAAACAACAUUAAAAAAAUUAAUGCCACUAGAAUGGGUUAAUUCGAAAUUAAAACAAAGAAGUUAUGGAUUUCCGAAGUUUUAAGUGUUGGAUUAAAAGAAACUAAGUGUAUAAUUUUUAAUCUAAGUUUCAUAACAAAGUAAAGUUACUGGAUGAUAAACAAUAUUAAUAUGAUUCUAAUGCAUCUGGAAUAAAUUAAUUCGGAGCUAAAAUGAAUUAAAUAUGAAUUAAAUAAGAUUCUAGGUUUAUUUCUAUACUAGAAAACAUUUUCUGGAUUAUUUUAUUCCAUUUAUUCACUUAUGGGCUACAACCACUAUUUACGAAGAGUUCAGGGUGCACCUUAUAAAAACCAGGGGCCUUCUUUCAAUGUUCUUUAAAUUGACCUGGACUGCGGGUUCAUUCAUAAAAAGAGUGGGGUUUCUUUUGCAAAACUGGCUAUCCGAAGGGGUAUUGUGUGAUUUGAGCCGUAGGAUCGGAGUUCUGUGGCUGAGAUUAGAUCGACCAAUAACAAUCCCGAUAUUCUAUGAUGGCCAUUGGAUCGGGGAUCGACGAACCGCAGUGACCCACACCAUCAUAUGACCGGAGCCUUCGAUUUCCAUAUCGGUUGUCUCGAUUUAAAGCACAAAGGGGUAUGCGUAGGAUCUAAUCGGGGUCGUCCUUUUCAGAUCUUGCGCCCACAACACCGUCUUCUUUCGUUUCCAGCCGAAGGCACCAGUGCCCAAAGGCUAGCCACGGUGGCUGGUGAGGCCAUGCCGAGCCACAGGUCCACGGAUUCGAUGUCUAUUACUGCUACAACACGCGGAGAACAUGAAGAGCAUGAGGGAGGAUGACAUACCGGUGUCUGGCACGUGGAUUAU